rnacentral:rRNA from 1 species
AUACAUGCAAGUCGAACGAGUUCUCGUUGAUGAUCGGUGCUUGCACCGAGAUUCAACAUGGAACGAGUGGCGGACGGGUGAGUAACACGUGGGUAACCUGCCCUUAAGUGGGGGAUAACAUUUGGAAACAGAUGCUAAUACCGCAUAGAUCCAAGAACCGCAUGGUUCUUGGCUGAAAGAUGGCGUAAGCUAUCGCUUUUGGAUGGACCCGCGGCGUAUUAGCUAGUUGGUGAGGUAAUGGCUCACCAAGGCGAUGAUACGUAGCCGAACUGAGAGGUUGAUCGGCCACAUUGGGACUGAGACACGGCCCAAACUCCUACGGGAGGCAGCAGUAGGGAAUCUUCCACAAUGGACGCAAGUCUGAUGGAGCAACGCCGCGUGAGUGAAGAAGGCUUUCGGGUCGUAAAACUCUGUUGUUGGAGAAGAAUGGUCGGCAGAGUAACUGUUGUCGGCGUGACGGUAUCCAACCAGAAAGCCACGGCUAACUACGUGCCAGCAGCCGCGGUAAUACGUAGGUGGCAAGCGUUAUCCGGAUUUAUUGGGCGUAAAGCGAGCGCAGGCGGUUUUUUAAGUCUGAUGUGAAAGCCCUCGGCUUAACCGAGGAAGCGCAUCGGAAACUGGGAAACUUGAGUGCAGAAGAGGACAGUGGAACUCCAUGUGUAGCGGUGAAAUGCGUAGAUAUAUGGAAGAACACCAGUGGCGAAGGCGG